rnacentral:rRNA from 1 species
CAGCCGCCGCGGGAAAACGUAGGGUGCGAGCGUUAAUCGGAAUUACUGGGCGUAAAGCGUGCGCAGGCGGUUCGUUAAGACAGAUGUGAAAUCCCCGGGCUUAACCUGGGAACUGCAUUUGUGACUGGCGAGCUAGAGUAUGGCAGAGGGGGGUAGAAUUCCACGUGUAGCAGUGAAAUGCGUAGAGAUGUGGAGGAAUACCGAUGGCGAAGGCAGCCCCCUGGGCCAAUACUGACGCUCAUGCACGAAAGCGUGGGGAGCAAACAGGAUUAGAUACCCGAGUAGUCCCUGUCUCUUAUAC